rnacentral:rRNA from 1 species
UACGUAGGGGGCAAGCGUUGUCCGGAAUCAUUGGGCGUAAAGAGCGUGUAGGCGGCUCGAUAAGUCUGCUGUGAAAGUCCAGGGCUCAACCCUGGAAGGCCGGUGGAAACUGUCGGGCUAGAGUCCGGAAGAGGCGAGUGGAAUUCCCGGUGUAGCGGUGAAAUGCGCAGAUAUCGGGAGGAACACCGGUGGCGAAGGCGGCAUCCUGGACCAAUUCUGACACUGAGGAGCGAAAGCCAGGGGAGCAAACGGG